ACACACAGACAUCAGUUUGUUUUCAAAAGAGAUUUGAGGACUUUAAAAAAGCCAACAUCAACAUUUCAGCUUCAGCGCCCUAUUAUCUCUUUACAUAUUGCUCUAGAAAAAAUCUGGGCAUCACUUUACGGAAAGCUG